GGAGCGGUGGCAGAGUCUGGUUGAUUGCAACUGCCUUGAAAGCAGUCGAUGGUUCACGCCAUCCGGGGGUUCGAAUCCCUCCCGCUCCG
rnacentral:tRNA from 1 species